CCUGGCAGUGUUCAAGGCCGGGUUGGAUGGGGCUUGGAGCACCCUGUAGUCUAAUGGAAGGUGCCCCUGCCUGUGACAGAGGGGUUGGAGCUAGGUGAUCUUUGAAGUCCCUUCCAACCCAAAGAAUUCUAUGGUUCUAGCCUGCUAUUUUCAAACA